UCUCUACAUGAAUAAUUGUAACUCAUUAAUAUUCUUAAAUUUAUUACUAUUAGUAUUACAUGAAUUUUUAUUGUCUGAUAUCAAUAUUUAUUAUUAAGCUAUUCUUUUGUGCAAUUGGUCAGAAGAUGGUUUGGGCCGCAGCCUAUUGCUAUUAUUGGGCCUCACUCCCAGCCCAUUGUAAAAUUUGUUCUUCGGCCCAGCCUUCAUUGGUAGUCACGAGGGUGUUGUUCCCUCCACCCCACUUUGCUUCCUCCACCUCCCUAACUUUUUUUCAAAAAAUUUUUAAUUAUAAAAAUAACAUUUUUUUUACUUUUAUUCCUAUUUAAUUAUUUUAAUAUAAAACUCUAAAUUUCUAUCCUUUUUAUCUUACUUUUUUACUUUUUCUUCAAAACCUAAUCCAUUCUCCUUUUCAGUCCACUGCCGCACCACACCCCCACCUCCCACUUUUCAUUUUCUUAAUUCUCUUUUUUCCUCUAACUUCUCUCGUCCUCUUUCUUUUACUUUUUAACUUUUUUCUUCAAACCCUAAUCCCUUCCCCUUUUCACUCCAUGGCAGCACUACAACCCACCCUCACAGCACGCUUUUGCUUUCAAAAUGUAUUAUUGGAGAGAUUUGUUAAGAGCAAACAUGAAUUCAGGAAGCAAGGUUUU
rnacentral:lncRNA from 1 species